CAAAACUCAAAAGCCGUGUUGAAGUGAGCUGUGAUGUUUCCUGACAAAACAAGAAGCGUCUACUAUUAUUUAAGCUGUAGUUUUCCUUGUACAGUAUUUAUUAGUGCAGAUGUCUGAUGAAAUACUACGCGUAUUGCAUUGUGGUAAUAUUUUAAUUUACAAUAUUCUAUACUGACAAAUAAAAGCAAGACAAACAAUUAAAUGAAGCUACGAAAUUAAUUUAGGCCCUGUUUACUUAAUAGCUCUACGCCUAGGCCAAUGUAGUCUUUACAAGAUUCGCACGCCAGCCAGAUUUUCAGUUUCAGAAUACCCCGAAUACUUGAAAAUUGCGACGAUACGAUAAAAAUAAAACAAAGAUUGUGAAGGGGAUAAAAUUUGUAGGCUAGCAUUGCUCCUGAACGGUAAGUGUUGGUGUCCGACGAAACAAGCGAAUCCGUAUACUCCUGUUACUACGGCGUAAACAGGUUACGCGAGGUUUAUAUUUGUGUUUAUUUAUAUUGAACUAAGUCAGAUCUAUAAGAGCAUAUUUAAACUAAAUAUUAAUUAUAGCAAUAGCCAUAUUCUUCAAGACGAGAGAAAGGAAAUUUCGUGUGAAUCACCACUUACAUGGAGACACC